rnacentral:lncRNA from 1 species
GUCGUAAUAAAAACUUAUUGACCUAACUAAUCUUGAGUAUCCAUAGUUUAUUCUCGUCAAAUCUCACACAUCAAAUCAAAGUCCUUUAUUCUUUUAUUUAUCUGCAAACUUGGAGUUUGGGUUGAAAAUUGUCAAGUCUCCUGAUCGAAAAAUCUAAAUAUUUACGAGGAAACUAAAAAUGAUGGGCUGAAUUUAAAUUUAAUAAAGCAUCUCAUUAAGACAAACACUCGAUGUGAAUAUCUCGGCAAUAGAAUGUUGGAUACGCAAACGUCAAAUUGAUUUCAAAACGAAGCGGUGGUUUUUAUGCCGAUUUGUGCAAGUGGUUAUCUCCCCUUAAUAUCAGCAGUCAAAAAUAAAAACCCAGUUAAAUGCAUAAAAAUUAAAAAAGGAGUUUACUUUACAAAAAUUAGAAAGAAAAUAAACGAAACUCGAUUUAUAACUAUGUUAUGAUAAUAUAAAGAAGAGAUGCCGCCCUAUUUUUCAGAGAAGGACUAAAUGUAAAAAAUUAAACAACAAAAUAU